GGUCAAGUGAAGAAGCGCAUACGGUGGAUGCCUUGGCAGUCAGAGGCGAUGAAAGACGUGGUAGCCUGCGAAAAGCUUCGGGGAGUCGGCAAACAGACUUUGAUCCGGAGAUCUCUGAAUGGGGGAACCCACCUAGGAUAACCUAGGUAUCUUGUACUGAAUCCAUAGGUGCAAGAGGCGAACCAGGGGAACUGAAACAUCUAAGUACCCUGAGGAAAAGAAAUCAACCGAGAUUCCCUUAGUAGUGGCGAGCGAACGGGGAUUAGCCCUUAAGCUUCAUUGAUUUUAGCGGAACGCUCUGGAAAGUGCGGCCAUAGUGGGUGAUAGCCCCGUACGCGAAAGGAUCUUUGAAGUGAAAUCGAGUAGGACGGAGCACGAGAAACUUUGUCUGAACAUGGGGGGACCAUCCUCCAAGGCUAAAUACUACUGACUGACCGAUAGUGAACCAGUACCGUGAGGGAAAGGCGAAAAGAACCCCGGAGAGGGGAGUGAAAUAGAACCUGAAACCGUAUGCGUACAAGCAGUGGGAGCCUACUUGUUAGGUGACUGCGUACCUUUUGUAUAAUGGGUCAGCGACUUAUAUUCAGUGGCAAGCUUAACCGUAUAGGGUAGGCGUAGCGAAAGCGAGUCUUAAUAGGGCGUUUAGUCGCUGGGUAUAGACCCGAAACGGGCGAUCUAUCCAUGAGCAGGUUGAAGGUUAGGUAACACUGACUGGAGGACCGAACCCACUCCCGUUGAAAAGGUAGGGGAUGACUUGUGGAUCGGAGUGAAAGGCUAAUCAAGCUCGGAGAUAGCUGGUUCUCCUCGAAAGCUAUUUAGGUAGCGCCUCAUGUAUCACUCUGGGGGGUAGAGCACUGUUUCGGCUAGGGGGUCAUCCCGACUUACCAAACCGAUGCAAACUCCGAAUACCCAGAAGUGCCGAGCAUGGGAGACACACGGCGGGUGCUAACGUCCGUCGUGAAAAGGGAAACAACCCAGACCGCCAGCUAAGGUCCCAAAGUUGUGGUUAAGUGGUAAACGAUGUGGGAAGGCUUAGACAGCUAGGAGGUUGGCUUAGAAGCAGCCAUCCUUUAAAGAAAGCGUAAUAGCUCACUAGUCGAGUCGGCCUGCGCGGAAGAUGUAACGGGGCUCAAACCACACACCGAAGCUGCGGGUGUCACGUAAGUGACGCGGUAGAGGAGCGUUCUGUAAGCCUGUGAAGGUGAGUUGAGAAGCUUGCUGGAGGUAUCAGAAGUGCGAAUGCUGACAUGAGUAACGACAAUGGGUGUGAAAAACACCCACGCCGAAAGACCAAGGGUUCCUGCGCAACGUUAAUCGACGCAGGGUUAGUCGGUUCCUAAGGCGAGGCUGAAAAGCGUAGUCGAUGGGAAACAGGUUAAUAUUCCUGUACUUCUGGUUACUGCGAUGGAGGGACGGAGAAGGCUAGGCCAGCUUGGCGUUGGUUGUCCAAGUUUAAGGUGGUAGGCUGAAAUCUUAGGUAAAUCCGGGGUUUCAAGGCCGAGAGCUGAUGACGAGUCGUCUUUUAGAUGACGAAGUGGUUGAUGCCAUGCUUCCAAGAAAAGCUUCUAAGCUUCAGGUAACCAGGAACCGUACCCCAAACCGACACAGGUGGUCGGGUAGAGAAUACCAAGGCGCUUGAGAGAACUCGGGUGAAGGAACUAGGCAAAAUGGCACCGUAACUUCGGGAGAAGGUGCGCCGGCUAGGGUGAAGGAUUUACUCCGUAAGCUCUGGCUGGUCGAAGAUACCAGGCCGCUGCGACUGUUUAUUAAAAACACAGCACUCUGCAAACACGAAAGUGGACGUAUAGGGUGUGACGCCUGCCCGGUGCCGGAAGGUUAAUUGAUGGGGUUAGCGCAAGCGAAGCUCUUGAUCGAAGCCCCGGUAAACGGCGGCCGUAACUAUAACGGUCCUAAGGUAGCGAAAUUCCUUGUCGGGUAAGUUCCGACCUGCACGAAUGGCGUAACGAUGGCGGCGCUGUCUCCACCCGAGACUCAGUGAAAUUGAAAUCGCUGUGAAGAUGCAGUGUAUCCGCGGCUAGACGGAAAGACCCCGUGAACCUUUACUGUAGCUUUGCACUGGACUUUGAGCCUGCUUGUGUAGGAUAGGUGGGAGGCUUUGAAGCGUGGACGCCAGUUCGCGUGGAGCCAUCCUUGAAAUACCACCCUGGCAUGCUUGAGGUUCUAACUCUGGUCCGUGAUCCGGAUCGAGGACAGUGUAUGGUGGGCAGUUUGACUGGGGCGGUCUCCUCCUAAAGAGUAACGGAGGAGUACGAAGGUGCGCUCAGACCGGUCGGAAAUCGGUCGCAGAGUAUAAAGGCAAAAGCGCGCUUGACUGCGAGACAGACACGUCGAGCAGGUACGAAAGUAGGUCUUAGUGAUCCGGUGGUUCUGUAUGGAAGGGCCAUCGCUCAACGGAUAAAAGGUACUCCGGGGAUAACAGGCUGAUACCGCCCAAGAGUUCAUAUCGACGGCGGUGUUUGGCACCUCGAUGUCGGCUCAUCACAUCCUGGGGCUGAAGCCGGUCCCAAGGGUAUGGCUGUUCGCCAUUUAAAGUGGUACGCGAGCUGGGUUUAGAACGUCGUGAGACAGUUCGGUCCCUAUCUGCCGUGGACGUUUGAGAUUUGAGAGGGGCUGCUCCUAGUACGAGAGGACCGGAGUGGACGAACCUCUGGUGUUCCGGUUGUCACGCCAGUGGCAUUGCCGGGUAGCUAUGUUCGGAAAAGAUAACCGCUGAAAGCAUCUAAGCGGGAAACUUGCCUCAAGAUGAGAUCUCACUGGGAACUUGAUUCCCCUGAAGGGCCGUCGAAGACUACGACGUUGAUAGGCUGGGUGUGUAAGCGUUGUGAGGCGUUGAGCUAACCAGUACUAAUUGCCCGUGAGGCUUGACCAU
rnacentral:rRNA from 1 species